rnacentral:lncRNA from 1 species
CAUCUUCCCACGUCCUGGGGGCCCAGUGUCUGGACCCUGAGCCGAAGACCGGUCCUGCCUUAGCCUGGCCCCACUGCCAGUGCAACCAGUAAGGUUCCAGUGCCUCCGGAAUUGAGGUACACAGGAAAGGGGUCCUGUAUCCUGCUGUCCCCAGCAUGGAUGGAAAGGGAAUCGGAAGCGCUUUUCCAGGCAUGAGAGCUGGAGGAGGCUGGGGCUGCCCAUCUGCCAGCGGUGGCCAGCGGUGACCAGCAGUGACCAGUGGUGGCUAGCAUGCCUGGCUCCCGGAAUCCCCGCCAGGGCGGCGCAGGGGGACAGAGCACAGCAGAACCGGCUCACGGGAACGGGCUUGUGGCUGGCCUUCUCUUCCCCCUUUCCAAUCUGAUUAGGACAUUUUAAUAGCCGUGUUGAGGGAUUACAGCAUAAAAU